rnacentral:rRNA from 1 species
ACACGACUACAUUAGAUACCCCUGUAGUCCUAGCCGUAAACGAUACUCGCUAGGUGUCGGCCACGGUGCGACCGUUGUCGGUGCCGUAGGGAAGCCGUGAAGCGAGCCACCUGGGAAGUACGGCCGCAAGGCUGAAACUUAAAGGAAUUGGCGGGGGAACACAACAACGGGUGGAGCUUGCGGUUUAAUUGGAUUCAACGCCGGAAAUCUUACCGGGACCGACAGCAACAUGAAGGCCAAGCUGAAGACUUUGCCGGAUUAGCUG